rnacentral:rRNA from 1 species
UACGUAGGGUGCGAGCGUUAAUCGGAAUUACUGGGCGUAAAGCGUGCGCAGGCGGUUCUAUAAGACAGAUGUGAAAUCCCCGGGCUCAACCUGGGAAUUGCAUUUGUGACUGUAGAGCUAGAGUACGGUAGAGGGGGAUGGAAUUCCGCGUGUAGCAGUGAAAUGCGUAGAUAUGUGGAGGAAUACCGAUGGCGAAGGCAGCCCCCUGGGUCGACACUGACGCUCAUGCACGAAAGCGUGGGGAGCAAACAGG